UACGUAGGGGGCGAGCGUUGUCCGGAUUUAUUGGGCGUAAAGAGCUCGUAGGCGGUCUGUCGCGUCUGCUGUGAAAACUCAGGGCUUAACCCUGAGCUUGCAGUGGGUACGGGCAGACUAGAGUGCGGUAGGGGAGACUGGAAUUCCUGGUGUAGCGGUGAAAUGCGCAGAUAUCAGGAGGAACACCGGUGGCGAAGGCGGGUCUCUGGGCAGUAACUGACGCUGAGGAACGAAAGCGUGGGUAGCAAACAGG
rnacentral:rRNA from 1 species